rnacentral:rRNA from 1 species
UACGAAGAGGGCGAGUGUUAUUCAUAGUGAUUGGGCGUAAAGGGUACGUAGACGGUGUUUCAAGUUCUCCUUGUAAAGACCACGGCGCAACUGUGGUAACGGGGGAAUACUGUUAAUACUUGAGUCUUGCAGAGGUUUAUAGUUUAAGCGGUAUUUUUAAGGUAAAAGUAACAAUUUUCGAUCUUAAGGAGACCCCCAACGGCG